AGAGUUUGAUCAUGGCUCAGAUUGAACGCUGGCGGCAUGCCUUACACAUGCAAGUCGAACGGCAGCACGGGGGCAACCCUGGUGGCGAGUGGCGAACGGGUGAGUAAUACAUCGGAACGUGUCCUGUAGUGGGGGAUAGCCCGGCGAAAGCCGGAUUAAUACCGCAUACGCUCUACGGAGGAAAGGGGGGGAUCUUAGGACCUCCCGCUACAGGGGCGGCCGAUGGCAGAUUAGCUAGUUGGUGGGGUAAAGGCCUACCAAGGCGACGAUCUGUAGCUGGUCUGAGAGGACGACCAGCCACACUGGGACUGAGACACGGCCCAGACUCCUACGGGAGGCAGCAGUGGGGAAUUUUGGACAAUGGGGGAAACCCUGAUCCAGCAAUGCCGCGUGUGUGAAGAAGGCCUUCGGGUUGUAAAGCACUUUUGUCCGGAAAGAAAACCUCUGGGUUAAUACCCCGGGGGGAUGACGGUACCGGAAGAAUAAGCACCGGCUAACUACGUGCCAGCAGCCGCGGUAAUACGUAGGGUGCAAGCGUUAAUCGGAAUUACUGGGCGUAAAGCGUGCGCAGGCGGUCCGCUAAGACAGAUGUGAAAUCCCCGGGCUUAACCUGGGAACUGCAUUUGUGACUGGCGGGCUAGAGUAUGGCAGAGGGGGGUAGAAUUCCACGUGUAGCAGUGAAAUGCGUAGAGAUGUGGAGGAAUACCGAUGGCGAAGGCAGCCCCCUGGGCCAAUACUGACGCUCAUGCACGAAAGCGUGGGGAGCAAACAGGAUUAGAUACCCUGGUAGUCCACGCCCUAAACGAUGUCAACUAGUUGUCGGGUCUUCAUUGACUUGGUAACGUAGCUAACGCGUGAAGUUGACCGCCUGGGGAGUACGGUCGCAAGAUUAAAACUCAAAGGAAUUGACGG
rnacentral:rRNA from 1 species